AUUGAACGCUGGCGGCAUGCCUUACACAUGCAAGUCGAACGGUAACGCGGGGCAACCUGGCGACGAGUGGCGAACGGGUGAGUAAUAUAUCGGAACGUGCCCAAUAGUGGGGGAUAGCCCGGCGAAAGCCGGAUUAAUACCGCAUACGACCUGAGGGUGAAAGCGGGGGAUCGCAAGACCUCGCGCUAUUGGAGCGGCCGAUAUCAGAUUAGGUAGUUGGUGGGGUAAAGGCCUACCAAGCCUACGAUCUGUAGCUGGUCUGAGAGGACGACCAGCCACACUGGGACUGAGACACGGCCCAGACUCCUACGGGAGGCAGCAGUGGGGAAUUUUGGACAAUGGGGGCAACCCUGAUCCAGCCAUUCCGCGUGAGUGAAGAAGGCC
rnacentral:rRNA from 1 species